AUGGCUUCUACUCUUAGACGGUUGUUUGCAACUAUGCUGGUAUUCUGUGAGGCAACAGAAAUCCGUCAGUUGUGGUACAAGCACCUAGCAUCGAUGUCAAAAGAUUACUGCCGUAGUCAAUUUAAUGAGGCAGCAUUUGAGCACAUGGUCCUUAGGGAUAUCAGGGAUCUGAUGCAAUCCAUGGGAAAGGAUUUUAAAAUGUACGGGCUUCCGAAUUUGGUUGACAUAGAUGGUUCUUCAGACGCCGAGUAUAGGGAGGUAACAGAGGAGAGGCAAGUCAAAGCCGAUCAAGAACAUCUAGAUCUAUUCAACUGCCUGAACAAUGAGCAACUGACUAGUUUCAAUGACAUAAUGGAUCAUGUGACGAACCAAAAAAGCCAGAUAUUCUUUGUUGAUGGUCCUGGAGGCACUGGGAAGACAUACUUGUACAAGCCAUUGCUUCCAAGGGCCCGUUCGAUGGGCCUAAUAGCGAUCGCAACUGCUACGUCACGUAUUGCAGCGUCGAUAAUGCCCGGAGGCCGGACUGCACACUCCAGGUUCAAAAUUCCAAUCAAGCUCACUAACAGCAGCAUGUGUAGUUUCACAAAGCAGAGUGGUACGGUAGAGUUGCUUAAACAGGAGACUCUUGACAGAUCGCUACAGGAUAUAAUGGAAUGUCCUCUACCGUUUUGUGGAAAGGCUGUCGUCUUUGGUGGGGAUUUUAGGCAGGUCCUCCCCGUUGUGACCCGAGGGACAAGAGCACAAUCGGACGCUUGGUUCUUCAAAUACCUCCUUAGGAUAGGCGAUGGAAUGAAGAAACAAUUGGCGACAACUAUGUGCGUCUCCCUGAAGACAUUGUGA
rnacentral:rRNA from 1 species